rnacentral:snoRNA from 1 species
CCAACGUGGAUACCUCCGGGAGGUCACUCUCCCCGGGGCUCUGUCCAAGUGGCGUAGGGGAGCGUAGGGCUCUGCCCCGUGAUGUACAGUCCCUUUCCACGGCGUUGGAGAUGAAGCUGGGCUUUCGAGUCCGCGCCUGCAUAUUCCUACAGCUUCUCAGAGUCCUGUGGACAAUGACUGAGGAGACAAACCAUGCAGGAAACAUCU